CUGCAGCCAAUUAAGCCAACUGUGCCCUUUCUCCAUGGGCACCCAGCUUGCCAUCACUACAAAUAGUAGCCUGCUUGCUAGUGUAUGCAGCCUGCUGAUUGUAUGGGUAGCCCUAAGGGACCUUGGAGACAGUC
rnacentral:snoRNA from 1 species